rnacentral:lncRNA from 1 species
AGAUUUUGAGUUUGGUAGCCAAAAACCAGUCCAUGAGAUUUGCAUUAUAAACACAUAACUCAGUAAUAUGUGAGAUACGGAGACAGCAUCAAAAUAAACCAAAAACUGUGUCCACAAGAUGCUUAUUAGAAAAAACUAAAUUCCAGAACAGGAUAGUCUAGGUCCAGGUCGCAUUACAUCGAAGAGUUUCGAACAGAAUUUCACGGAUUAAUAAUGACACAAUCUCAGCAGCCUCAGCAACCUGUUAGAACAUUGAACAAACACCAUUAGAUACGUUGAAGUGAAAAAGAUAAAUAAAGAAAAAGAGAAGAAAAAUGUCACCACAAUAAAUAGUAGAAGAACUAUAAACUGGUUUUCCUAUUGAUUUUUUUGUUCCGAAAAAAAAAAAAAGAUAUGCAAACAACAAUAACCGACUAAGAAGACCACAAAAUUUCGACACGACUAAGAAGACCACAACUUUUUAGGACAAUCCACUGUCCCAAACGGAUCCCAUACCAGUACCGGUGUCAAGUUAUGUCGACACGGGUACAUUGGGGUAAAACAAAGAGCUAAUCUGUUAGUGUCACCAGUUUGACAAGCAUGGUGCAGCUUAUACCCCUGAUGGCAACAAUGGCUUUCACCCUGACAAAAUUAUACAUAACUUGAUGACUAUGUCUUGGAAAAUCUUGUGCAUUGCUCAGGCUUCCAAGAAAGAUAGAUGGUGAGAGUGAUAGCUGGAAAUUUCAAUCACUUAAUAAAGCUCACUUCUCUCUUCCUUUCUACCUGGAUCGUAAGAAUCAACUUUCCAUUCCAUGGAACUGGUCAUGAAAAAGUUAAUGUGUGUUAGGAACCAAAUAUACCCCUCAUUUCAACACACCUUAUUUAUAUCUACAGCCAAGCCCCACAAAAACUUUGGGUUUUAAGAGGACGGAAAGCAAAUUCCAUCAAAAAAACGGUUUCAAGAUUAUAAUCGUGUUUGAAUUUACUGAUGACAAGAAUGAUGAAUCCAGCUACAGCUUUGCCGAGUAAUGUCAUCAGAAAAACCACUUCUAACAGGCUUGAGUAUCAUUCUUCAAUGCAAGUGUAGAUACCAAACCAGUAACAUGCCAACUUGCACUCACAGCAGUUUUGUUACCAGCAAUUAGCCAGUAGGGUUUUCAGACUUCAAUAACAGUAUGAGAGCUGCGAAAACACUAUGCAAUGAAAGUUGCUAACAAGCAACUGUUAAGAAUUGAACUUUGUUCCAACCUCGAAAGGAAAAGAUAUCAGAAACUAUAAUACUCAACAACUGUUAUUUGCCUAUAUCUCUCUCUGCCCCUAACUCAAACAUACUUUCCAUUCAACUGAAGUUCAAACUCAAUAAAAGCCCAGAUUCCCAGGAAUACAGCUUAUUUUUAAAUGUGAGUAUUAUCCUCAGCUAUCUUUUCUCUGGAAAAGCUGUUUAAUCAGAUUCUUUCCUAGCUGGGGAUACAAUGUAUCUCUACAUGCCCCUUGGAAGAGAGCUUUUGGCUACAAACCUCAAUAGGCCACAAUUGUUUUCCAGCUUAGCUCCACUACAUGGAUAAUUUCCUAUUUCUUUUUUUUUCAAGUCCUUUUGCCCAGUAUCAAGUGAAAAAUGAGGCUCAUACAAGAAAUGAAAGCUGUAACUGGCCAAAUCCCAUGGUUUUUUCUUCAUGCGAGCAGUUGCACUUAUAGCCAGUUUGUCACACGCCAAAUAGUCUACUCACUUAAUAUAACUAAAAAGCAGUCACGAAACACAACUGCUCUUAAUAAAAAAGAAGACAUCCAUUUAGCUUGAUGAUUUCAUAAGGUUCAGAUUGAUGCUUUGACAGAAUUUGGUAAACAUUCAGGUACAAAUGAAAAAACCUAGACAGAAACCUGAUGUACUGCAGGUGAACAUUUAUUAUCUAGUACAAAGGCAUUACAUUUGCAAUCUUUUCCAUUACAACAGAAUGAUUAGCUUCAAUACUUCUGAGGUACAAAAUUAUCAAAAUUUGUUCAGUUGACAACAGAAAACUAGUCAGGCCAUUAUAGUUAGCACAUCUAGAAACAACUUUGGGGUUAGAACAUUCAAAGGUAGCAAAAAGCUAAACACAGAUCCACACAAAGCAAAGGAACUAAAAAGUUCUCUCACUGAGUAUGUCUGAGCUGCAACAGAGCAUAUACAUCCUAAAACAAGUUCAUAUACAUUGUCUCCAAAGUGGCACUAUUCUUUGCCUACCAACUGAAGCAAAUCUCCAACCAACAAAAGUAAGGUACAAAAGAAGGAUAUAAGCUUUAUCACAAAGAAGCACAUAAAUGAGCAAUGCAACACUCUUAACAGAUACAGAAAUUCACUAAGAAACUCAUAAACUUGAAUUAAACCACAUUCGAUUAGAGAAAACGUAAAUGACCACUUACAAAACUAAAACAAGAAAAAUCCUUGAUUAAUACUCCCUCCGUUCCAUUUCAUUGACACAGUCAUAUUUUCCUUUUAAGUUCUCCCAAAAUAUUUAUAACUUACAUAAAUUGGCAAACACAUUUGCAUUCAAUUCCUCCAUUUACCGUUCAAACACUCCCUAAAAGUCCAAUGCAUGUGUCUUUUCAUGAGCCCACAGAUUAUUACCAACGAAACUAAGACAACUUCUUUUGUAGUACGCGCUAGCUGGCAUUAAGAAACUAAAGCAAUUAAGUGUUCCGAUGCACGCGCUAGUUGGCAAUCACAUCUGCGAUUGGACAAACAUCUUGGCUCCACAAUUCUUUAUGUCUUAGUACAACACUUAAAGCUCUUCAUGGGGGUGAAACGAGAAACUACAGCAUCAAUUUUCAAAUUCUAUCCACUCUUCAUAAAAAUUACAGUUCCCGAAGUGCGAUAAAUUUUAUGGGAUGAAGACCAAAACUGUCAUUAAAUUGCCUAUCAUACGAGUCAUUAGCUCAUAAAUUGCAAGCACUUCAACCAAAAAUUACAUUUCUAUGCCAAAAACCCCAUUCAGAGAUAACCUUAAGCUGUCAAACAUAGAGAUUAUAAAUCCUAAAGACUGUCAAUUAAAAAAACUAAAGCAAACCCACUUAACAAAACCUAUCCAACAGUCACCCAAGAAAAAAAAUUUUAUUUACCUUCCCUAAGAUUAAACCAAAUAAAACUUGAAACCCAGAAAAAUGUCAAAAAGCCUCCAAAAAAUCCCAGGAAAAAUUAUCCAAAAUAGAAGUCAAAGAAAAAACUAAAAAAUAAUUACCUUUAGAUCAAGCAUUUGGCAGUUUGAGGAAUAGGCUGCGCCGCUGGGGAGCCGUGUUUUUGUUGGGCUUCGGCUUCCGGGAUCUUCUGCAUCCGUUCCAUGACAAGCUCGUACACUCUCUUCUUACCUGCUUGAUUGAUUAACAAAUUGAUAAGACCGAAACAAGUAAUCUAUGUGGAUAUGCCACUCAUAUUCUCUGCCUGAUCAAUUAUACAUGUAAACAAAAUUCACAGCUUGAGGUAAAGCAAAAAUCAAGAGUCGGCCUUGUUUGGAUUCCCAUUUCUUCCCAAAAAAUUUUACACUUUGCGAUAAUGCAUCUUUCAAUCACUUUUUUUACCUCAUAUCAUAUCGUUACAAUAUUUUUUUAACAGAAACUCCAGAAAAUAGUAUCCAGACGGGCUAUUUGCGAUCUCAAAAGC